CUUGACGACCAUAGAGCAUUGGAACCACCUGAUCCCAUCCCGAACUCAGCAGUGAAACGAUGUAUCGCCGAUGGUAGUGUGGGGUUUCCCCAU
rnacentral:rRNA from 1 species